rnacentral:rRNA from 1 species
GGGGGUGCUUACACAUGCAGUCGAACGGUGAAGCAGGAGCUUGCUCUUGUGGAUCAGUGGCGAACGGGUGAGUAACACGUGAGUAACCUGCCCUUGACUCUGGGAUAAGCGUUGGAAACGACGUCUAAUACUGGAUACGAACCUCCANCGCAUGGUGANGGGUUGGAAAGAUUUUUUGGUCAAGGAUGGACUCGCGGCCUAUCAGCUUGUUGGUGAGGUAAUGGCUCACCAAGGCGACGACGGGUAGCCGGCCUGAGAGGGUGACCGGCCACACUGGGACUGAGACACGGCCCAGACUCCUACGGGAGGCAGCAGUGGGGAAUAUUGCACAAUGGGCGCAAGCCUGAUGCAGCAACGCCGCGUGAGGGAUGACGGCCUUCGGGUUGUAAACCUCUUUUAGUAGGGAAGAAGCGAAAGUGACGGUACCUGCAGAAAAAGCACCGGCUAACUACGUGCCAGCAGCCGCGGUAAUACGUAGGGUGCAAGCGUUGUCCGGAAUUAUUGGGCGUAAAGAGCUCGUAGGCGGUUUGUCGCGUCUGCUGUGAAAACUGGAGGCUCAACCUCCAGCCUGCAGUGGGUACGGGCAGACUAGAGUGCGGUAGGGGAGAUUGGAAUUCCUGGUGUAGCGGUGGAAUGCGCAGAUAUCAGGAGGAACACCGAUGGCGAAGGCAGAUCUCUGGGCCGUAACUGACGCUGAGGAGCGAAAGCGUGGGGAGCGAACAGGAUUAUAUACCUUGGUAGCCCACGCCGUAA